AGCUCUAAUAGCGUAUAUUAAAGUUGUUGCAGUUAAAAAGCUCGUAGUUGAACGUGUGGCCUAACUGGCUCAUUCUGACGCUUAUGUGUGAGUACCUGAGCCAUCCGACCAUCCUUGGGUGGAACCUGUGUGACAUUAAGUUGUCUUGUAGGAGAUGCCUAUCCUUUACUAAGAAAAAAUUAGAGUGUUCAAAGCAGGCUUAUGCCGUUAAACAUAUUAGUAUGGAAUAAUAAUAUAGGACUUUGGUACUAUUUUGUUGGUUUGUGCACUAAAGUAAUGAUUGAUAGGGACAGUUGUGGAUAUUAGUAUUUUUAGGUCAGAGGUGAAAUUCUUGGAUUCUUUAAAGACUGACUACUGCAAAAGCAUUUAUUAAGGACGUUUUCA
rnacentral:rRNA from 1 species